rnacentral:rRNA from 1 species
UACGUAGGGUGCGAGCGUUGUCCGGAUUUAUUGGGCGUAAAGAGCGUGUAGGCGGUUCGGUAAGUCUGUCGUGAAAUCCUGAGGCUCAACCUUGGACGUGCGAUGGAUACUGCCGGGCUAGAGGAUGGUAGAGGCGAGUGGAAUUCUCGGUGUAGCGGUGAAAUGCGCAGAUAUCGGGAGGAACACCAGUAGCGAAGGCGGCUCGCUGGGCCAUUCCUGACGCUGAGACGCGAAAGCUAGGGGAGCGAACAGG